GAUGAACGCUGGCGGCGUGCCUAAUACAUGCAAGUCGAGCGAACGGACGAGAAGCUUGCUUCUCUGAUGUUAGCGGCGGACGGGUGAGUAACACGUGGAUAACCUACCUAUAAGACUGGGAUAACUUCGGGAAACCGUAGCUAAUACCGGAUAAUAUUUUGAACCGCAUGGUUCAAAAGUGAAAGACGGUCUUGCUGUCACUUAUAGAUGGAUCCGCGCUGCAUUAGCUAGUUGGUAAGGUAACGGCUUACCAAGGCAACGAGGCAUAGACGACCUGAGAGAGUGAUCGGCCACACUGGAACUGAGACACGGUCCAGACUCCUACGGGAGGCAGCAGUAGGGAAUCUUCCGCAAUGGGCGAAAGCCUGACGGAGCAACGCCGCGUGAGUGAUGAAGGUCUUCGGAUCGUAAAACUCUGUUAUUAGGGAAGAACAUAUGUGUAAGUAACUGUGCACAUCUUGACGGUACCUAAUCAGAAAGCCACGGCUAACUACGUG
rnacentral:rRNA from 1 species